rnacentral:misc_RNA from 1 species
UAUUGUAUUGCGUUAAACGCGGCAUACAUUCCAUAAGACUUUAUUACAGUGUGUGUGUAAAGACGUAGAGCCACAGCAAGGGGACGAAGAGUCACCCAGGCCAUAGAACUACGGAGGGUGCACAGGUGUGAGUGGAUGUGUAAACAGAGUGUGCACAUGCCCCCGGUUUGGGGACCAGCAACAACUUGUGUCGACAGUUCAGUAAUGAUCCUUCCGCAGGUUCACCUACGGAAA